CCUAAUGGUCAAUAUAUAAUAACAUAGAGGAAAUUAAGAAGAUGUUCCCAAUUCCGUGGAACGCUUUCCUUGACUUCGGUUCUGUACCCACAGGGGGCUCCGUGGAGUUAACAUUCAGGCCUGACCCCUCAGCCCAGACCCCUGUCCCCACCCCGCUGCAGCAGGAGCUCCCCGCUGGACACCAGCCUGGCUUUGUUCUCCAGCACAUAUGAAAGGAAAAAAAUAAAAGGGAACAGUUUUCUCUUAAUUCUCCUCCCAGCUCCUCUUCUUUCCCUUUGAAACCACAAUCACAGCCCCGAGGGAGGGCUCCUCCAGCCCAGAGAAGCCAUUCCCAGGAUGAAGGGGAGGGCUGGCCGCCCAAAUUCCCACCCAGGCUCCGAGUCUGCUGGGCCAGGGAGACCAUUUUCUCAAUGAGCCUCUAAGAUGCGGACUCUACGGCUGCUGCUCCCCGAUUCACGUCAGAGAAACUCGAUACCUCAACCACACAUCCGGCAUGUUUCCACAGACGUGUCAAUAUUGCCUUUCUAUCACUUGCGAAUCGUCACCUGGCACAGACUUCAGGGAAGCCAUGAAUGGAGUUAAGCAGAGAUUGUCAAAGGGGCUGACUCAAGAAGGCGUGCGAUCUUCCCUUGGUGGGGAAGGCUGGGCUGGCCUGUUAUAUUGUGGGAUACCCAAAACACAAGGCCCGACUGCGAAAUAACGGGCGUGGGGGGAGCAGCUACUUUGGAAGGAGAAUAGGACUUUUUGUGAAAGUCAUCCAGCAGGUCGCAGGCCCCAAACAAGGGUGGCACACCAUAUGGGAGCUGGUGUGCUUCUACAGAUGCUCACAGAUCAGGCGGGCCCGUGCUGGACCCCGAGGGCCACGGGGUUCCCGGGCACAUCUCAUGUGCGUCCCGAAGCCCCACUCCUUGUGACUAGCCAGGGGAGCAAAAGGACCCGAAGUGGGCAGAAUAAAACCUCCUUAUCUGUGCUCUCGAAGAAAGGCUUUUUCCAGAAGGGAAAACAGGUCCCUAACUCACUAUGACUUCAAGGUAUGUUCUUUCUUCUUCUUUUGUUAAAGAUCAAAUUUAGAACUCGGCAAAAAAGAAAAAAAAAUGUAUCUCAGGGUAGCCUUGGACAGAUUCUUACAUUUGGGAGAGCAUGAGAAAAUAUAUUUAGAGCUUUUUAAGUAUCUUUAAAACACUCCCUAAUUUUUUCCUUUGUGCUAUGGAAUAUGUUCAGGCAAGUUAACGUCUUGAAUCCUUUGAAUUCCCCGUCUGGGCUCCCCUUAAUACUUGAAAAAAGAAGUCGGGGACUUCCACGGCACACCUGGUGGUUCAAAACACUCGAACAGGAAGCAAGGGCAUUAGCAGUGAGGCUGGCUGGUAACUGAGGAGAGCCUGCAAAUUGCAAACCUUCUGUUUAUACAUUAUCAACCUUUUUGGAAGAGGCAUGAAAUUGGUAACCUUGUUUAAAUGGUAACCACCAUGAAGGUUUUGACUAGAGAUGUUAUUAAUUUACAAUCGAUAUUCAUCUUACCUUCUUUUUCCCCGUCAUAUUCCAUUCUUUUAGAACUUGGACUGCACUGCCUAGACAAAGACAAAGAACCUUCAACACGGAUUCACAUAAUAAAUCACCGCACAAAAUUCACCUCUGUCUUUCCAUCCUGGCAGCGAUUUUUUUUUUUUUUUUUUUGGCUUUUCAAUUUGUUUUGAUACAUCCUACCUUAAUAAAAAUGCCAGUUUCAUUUUUUA